rnacentral:rRNA from 1 species
GAAGUAAAAGUCGUAACAAGGUUUCCGUAGGUGAACCUGCGGAAGGAUCAUUAUCGAAUUACCGGGGGGUUGAUGCUGGCAGUCUUUGGUUGCAUGUGCUCACUCUCCUUUAAUCCAUUCACACAUGUGCACUAAUUUCCUUUUUGAAGGCAGAGGUUGAAAAGUCUGCCUUUGGAAUUGAUAAACUCUUAUUCUAUGUAAUGGAUGCUAUUCUGCCACAAGGCGAAAUUUAAUACAACUUUUAACAACGGAUCUCUUGGCUCUCGCAUCGAUGAAGAACGCAGCGAAAUGCGAUAAGUAAUGUGAAUUGCAGAAUUCAGUGAAUCAUCGAAUCUUUGAACGCACCUUGCACCCUCUGGUAUUCCGGAGGGUAUGCCUGUUCGAGUGUCAUGAGACUCUCAAACUAAGAUGGCUUUGUUGCUAUCUUUGUUUGGAUUUGGACUGUGCUGCGUUAAUGCAGCUGGUCUUAAAUGGAUUAGCUGGUCCUUAUGAAAGAUUUGGUUCUACUCAGCGUGAUAAUUAUCUGACGUUGAGGACAGUCUUAGGACUGGCCAGAGCUAUCUUUGGACUGCUUCUAA